AUGAACAGAAACGCAGGAAAGUCUUUGAAAUUGUUGCAUGUUGUGUUUUAUAUUUUUGCUCCGAAGAAAUUCAGUGGUAGUAAUGGCAGACGAAGCACCACUAAAAGGUUAUUUCUGACCGUCCCCAGGGGAAACUGCUUUACUGCCAUCCUCCUCCCCACAUCAGUGCAGCAGACUUCCAGCCCCAGCACAGGAAGUUCCAGUCUGGAGAUGCAGACGGUAAAGGCUCCAAGACGGGCCACAAACAGAGCAAAGUCAAGAGACAUGAGAAUCUGGUGGACAAGAACUUCCAUCAGAUAAUAGACUGAGGAUGAUGAAGAGGAGGAGGAGGCAGAACCCCAUGGCUGUUUCUCUGCUGUUGGUGGAGGGAGCUACCUGACAUCCAGGACCAGCCCAGGGCCUGUAGACAGCCCUCUAACUGGGAGGAUAAUGGGAGAAGAACUUCUCACAGACCUCCUCCAUUUAAGUGGGAGAUUCUCUUAUGAAAUCACCUCCACACUAGCACCCUGUUUUCAGUGGCUAUCUGACUGCUAUGCUGUGUCCUUGGGCAGGACAGCACUGAUGUCCUGGGUUAUGUUAUUGGUUUGCUCUGGACCUACAAGUUCUGUGCUUUCUCCAGAGCAGUAAGUGACAUUGCAGUUCACUUCUGUUCAUGUCUGAGUUGCCGUACUUGGAUGUAUUGUCACAACAGUCCCUCAAAGUCAAGUGUUAUGUAGUGAAAACUUGCAAUACAAUAUGACAUAAUAAUGCUCUUAGCACUUGAACCUCUUCAUCUUUUAACGUAUACUCCUCGAUCAUAUUGCUCUACGACACUCAGUAUGAGUUUGUACUGAGAGCCAUGCCAUGGCUACUGGCAUCAACGUUCUGUGCAACCCUGCAUCUUGCUGUAUCCUUCUCCAGGUAAAGAAUAUGUAGCCUCGUCCCCAGCCUCGAGAGAGCUAGCUGGUGGGCGAGAUUUAAUGAGUAUGUGAAUAUAACUUCUAAUUGAAUUGAACCCUAACCGUGUUGUCAUUACUGUCUUGACUCUGUGGUCAGAUUGUGUUCCUGUCCUGGUGCAGGAAGAGUACCACUCCGCAGCAGCAUGGAAGGGGUUCUCCAGACACAGUCUCUUGGGGGGCUUCUCUCCCCCACUCAGCACAACCCUAGAGGGAAGACUAAGAAAAACACACAGUAAGCCCAGAGUCCUCUCUGGGUUAAGGAGAUGGACUCAAUGCCUGGCAGUGUUGUUUAUGUCAUUUUAUAGCAAGCAUUGGAAUGAAAGAGCAAAUAAAGAUCUUUAAGAUAGAGAAUGAAAGACUAAAUGGUAGAUGUUUGAGAACUCCUUUUUAAGUUGCUCUUUCAUUCCUGUCCUGGCUUUGCCUCAUACAGUAUUUGAUAAUCAUCUUUAAACACAGCUCUCUUUCCUCAUGUGCGUUGGGCUUGGAUGGCACUCCUCUCUGUGUUCCCUCCAAUAACACAAAUCUCAACAAGAUGGCUGAUAUGGGAUAUUACAUGGAUGUCAACAUUCAACCAGACUCUGUCCAGGGAAGCAGGUGUGUCAGAGAGAUCCCCCUCAGGAGGACUGUGAGAAUGGACAAACCCUGCACCUUAGAAACAUUCUCUGACUCCUCAUCCCUCAACUCUGAUGUGGAGGUCAGAUCCCAACGGAUCCUUACAUCUUCCUCACAUUCUUUAUUAACAACCUUACUAUCGUGUAAAAUCAUAUUCUACAGCAAGAUUUUGCCCAAUAUGGUUAAGUUAUUCUGAGUUUAGUAUGUGAUCGUAAAAAAAUGUGAACUGUUAAACCAUUUUCUGCCACAAGAUGGUGAUAGUAUGUGAAGGAUGGUUGAAAACUUGUUGCUUUGGAUUCAUCUACACAUCAGGGAAACCUAUUAUUUUCAGUCUUAACACAUUGUAGGCCCUGCCUAUUACCAUGUAAGGAAGGUCAAAUCAAGACCUUUACCCACAAGGUCUUCUGAAGUGCUUUGCUUGCUAACUAAGUAUGUUUAUUUAACGUUACUUCUUUAUGCUCAGGCCUUUCCAUGUCGACUGAUUAUUAUAGUGCAGUGAAAGUCCACUCAAGGGCCAUUUCAUAUGAAUUCGAUCACUUUCUGACUGCACCCCUUUUGAUUUGAACGAAACCUUCCAUACAUGUUUGCCAUGGUAGGAGUGGUCAGAAAAGUGACCUUUUGGACCUGAAUGCCAAAACAUUCAGGAGAUAGAGGUGCUCAAAGUUGACGUAUUUUGCAUACCUACCAUUAGACGUCUGUGUCUUCAUCACUGAAAAAUAUAAUUCAAAUCAAAUCAAACUUUAUUUGUCACAUGCACCGAAUACAAUAAGUGUAGACCUUACCGUGAAAUGCUUACUUACAAGCCCUUAACAGUGCAGUUCAAGAAGAGUUAAGAAAAUAGUUACCAAAUAAACUAAAGUAAAAAAUAAUAAAAAGUAACACAGUAACAUAACGAUAACGAGGCUAUAUACAGGGGGUACCGGUACCGAGUCAGUGUGUGGGGGUACAGGUUAGAGGUCAUUUGUACAUGUAGGUAGGGGUGAAGUGACUGCAUGGAUAAUAAACAGCGAGUAGGUGCAGUGUACAAAACAAAUGGGGGGGUCAAUGUAAUAGUUUUUAACGUUAAAGGUAUAAAAAAACAAGCAGAUUUUUGUUAUAUCAAACUCGUUUAUCUAAAUGUGUAAAGUCAGAUUUGUCUCAUUUUCGCAUAGGUUUUAACUUAGACACGGAUUUAUCUGAAGUUCCAGGCAUAAGCGACAUAAGCAGGUAGCUUAGGGCACCCAGCACACAAACUCAGUCGGGUCUUGUAAGGUCCUGACCAUAGAGAGCCCUUAUUUUCUAUGGUGGAGUAGGUCAAGGCGUGACUGGGUGUUUAGUCUAGUUUAUUAUUUCUAUGUCUCUAAUUGGGGAUCAUAUUUAAGUAGCAUUUUUUCCACCUGUGUUUUGUGGGAUAUUGUUUAUGUGUAGUUGCAUGUUAGCACGUUUAGUCUUUAUUGUUUGUUGUGUGGUUCACUUAUUUCUAAUAAAAGAUG
rnacentral:lncRNA from 1 species